UUCAGUUGCUCCUCAUAGGGCAUAUUCUCCGAGGCCUUCACAAGGCACUACAUAGGUGAGGAACAAAAGCACAACACAAUCCUGGAUAUUUAAUGUCACUAUUGAAUAAACAAGGGCAUCUUUCAAAUUCUUGGCCUUUGAACUAUUCAUAAGAAUAUCAGAAGAUCAGCCUGACAUUUGUAACAAGAAGGUUGGUUUCAAAGGCCUGCAGGAAUAAGCUGAGAGUCUCAGUUUGGGCUAGACCUCAUAAAUAAAAAGGGUAAAAGGGAAAGAAAAGCGUGGGUUAUCAUUUGAGGAUAAUUUAAGUAAAGUGUGAUAGCAAAAAUAAUACUUUGCCAUGUUUUUUUAACCAGGAUGCCAUGGUUCAUUGUGUGGACCAGACAAGGUGGCUGAAUGGGAAUAAGCACACAGUGCUGGGCAGAGCAUUGUCAGCGGGGAAAGGAAGUCAGGGAGCAUGAGGCACUUGAACCAAGAACUGAAUGACCCCAAUCCCAAAUAUUGCCGUGAGCUUCUGAUCAAGCCCUGUUUGUGGAGCUCUGAGUCACCGAACAGUCCACCAGGACCCUGAAAGCAAACUGUGGGAAGAGCCCUGCGAAGCAGACAUAAAAACUGACAACUUUGCUUCUUCCCCAAGACCAUACUGGGACAGGAUGGAAACAGGAUCAGAGGUCUGCAGCGAAGCAGCAGAGUGAUGCACAACAGAGUGAUGCACCAAGGUGCACAGAACGAAAGCAGAGAGCUACACAUAACAUAUCCAAAUCUUUGAAGCUGCAAAGGACUUUGAAAGUAAUUCACAAAAGGUACAUUUGCCAUGUGGCAGUGGACAGAAGACAAAGAGCCAAAUUUUCCUUGCCUUUCCAGUGGAACUAAAACUGUUCCACAAGGCAUCAGUUUAAGAGAGGGACACAGCUGGACUUCUGAAACAAGCACUAAUUUGACCACUAGCAGCUGUUACUGGCUUUUGGAGGAAAAUAGUCCAAUGACUUUGCUCUCUGUUCCUCGCCAGCCAUUUUCACCAUCUAAUUUCCUGGAACAUUUAAUUGUGACAGAACAUUUCAUGUGGCUCAUUGUGCAUUGAGAUAUUCUAGCACAUUUUUCAAGACACAGCACUAUGCAUUUCAAAUAAAUGACAUAAACUAC